rnacentral:pre_miRNA from 1 species
AUCAUACUCCCUCCGUUCGGAAUUACUUGUCUCGGAAAUGGAUGUAUCUAGAUUCUAGAUACAUCCAUUUCUGCGACAUGUAAUUCCGAACGGAGGGAGUAGGUU